UCUGACGGAUUUGCGACGGAUUAGCGACGGAUUUUUAAAAUAUUAGCGACGGAAUUUAUUCCGUCGCUAAUCCGUCAGAAAAUGCAAAAAAAUAUUUAAAAACCUAAUCCAUCUCUUUCGGGACUCUUUUUGAUUUCAGCCACCAUUUUCCUCUCCUCUCUUCUCCUCUCUUCUCCUUAUCGCUCCAUCCUUCUUCUUGCCGCCGUCGCCGUCGCCGCCUCCAUCGCCGCCGCCACUGUCGUUCCCGGGCUAUCGCGCGUUGCUGCGCCUCUCUGUAGCUGUUGCUGUUGCCGCGGCUGUGCCGCCAUUGCUGGAGCUGCCACCGCUGCCGCCACCACCGUUGCCACUCACCGCCGUUGCAACUGCCAAUCGUCGCCACUCCAUAAUAUAUUUAUCAUGUCGGUAGAUCGUAGAUGGAUGUAUGAGCGACUAGAUGAAAAUGGCUUUCUUAAUUCUGAAUUUGAGAUUGGGGUGGAGACAUUUCAACAAGUGCAACAACCACUUGAAGUGGUGGAAGAUGAAGAUGAGGAUGUAGAGGAAGAGGAAGAGGGAGAGGAUGAAGAAGAGGAAGAAGACACUGAAGAGUCAGAUGACGAUUUAGAAGUUGAUGGUAUUGAUAGUGAUGAUGAUGUCAACUUAGAAGAUGAUUCUGAAUGAUACAUUAUGCCUCGAAGAGCAGUAUCAUCUAGAGGUAGAGGACAUAGCCAGCAGCUCUCUAUGAAUGAAACAAAUAAUCCAACUGCAGAUUGUACUUCUCUAUCAGAUGAUUCAACAAAUUCAUAGAUUAGUUUUUAGUUUUAUGAAUAUUGUUAAGUAUUAUUCAUUUAUUUUAAAUUUUAUGACGAUUGUUAAGUAUUAUUAUGAACAUUGUUAAAUAUUAUGGAUUUAUUU